ACAUACCGGAAGCAGGGGUGCACUCUAAUUCCUCAUAUACCUUGCUUUGUCAAAGCCAACUUUUGCUGUUCAUGAGACUGAGAGGCCAGUGUCUGCUGCUGCAGGGAAAACUGUGCCUAGCCUCCCACUACCUUUCUUCAUGAUCCAGCCCCUUUCUCUGACGGGGAGGUGCUGCUGCCCAUAGCCGCCAGAAAACUGAAGAGCAAAAAGCAGGCUGGAGAUGUGUGGAACAAGACCCUCCUCAGCUCAGAGUCAACCAAAGUGAGCCAACAGGGGCCAGCAGGGAUGGCUGCUGGGAAUUAAGUAUCAAAACAACAUUUUUGUCAUAGAAGAAAUUUGAUGCUUCUAUCAAAGGCAAGAAUCUCUGAAUAAUGUGAAAUGGGGGAAUUCGUAAGAAAUGGAAACAUUGGUUAUGGACAAUGAGGUCCAGGGACAAGUGACUACGUGGGCUUUGAGAAACAGCAGCAGCAGGAAAGAAGAAAAAGUCUGGCACCUAAUUGCAUAAGUGGGCAAGAUUCUUGAUGCUGCUUUGAUGUGGAAAGCACUUACAUCCUGAAGAACAUGGAUUCUAUUUUUAUUAUAAUGAUUAUUGCUAUUCCUUCUAUAUUUGUUUUUUGUUUUAUAUUGCGUUGUUUUUUAUGCCCUAAGACUCAAGGUAACACUCAUCAAGAGCGCAAUUCAUCAGGAAUUUGUUGUUUUGGGGGAGGAAGUGAUUCCUGGGGAGAGAAUUAUGCUUGUGGAGGAGCUGAUUUUGGGGCAGGAGGUGUUGCUUUUGGAGGAGGUUAUUCCUCAGGAGGAGGGAAUGCUUGUAUAGGAGGUCAUUCCUGCGGAGGAGGUGAUGCUUUUGCAAUAGUUGAUUCCUGUGGAAGAGGUGAUUUCUUGGGAGGAGGUGAUGCUUAUGGAGCAGUUGAUUCUUGGGGAGGAGGUGUUACUUGUGGAGGAGUUGACUCUUGGGGAGGAGGUCAUGCUUGUUCAGGAGGUGAUUUCUGUGGAGGAGUGGAUGCCUGUGGAGGAGGUGAUUAGUGGGCAAAGGUGAUCCAGGAAGAAGCAGAUGAUUAUUGUGGUUGACUGACUUCAACAAUGUGUUAACCUCUGUCCACUAGUGGACUAGUGAUGAGCUCAGGUGCUCGUUUUCCUCUGGAGUGAGUAUCCAGUACUAAGUCAAAAAGUCCAUUCUAGCAGGAGAAACUCAUUUUUACAAAAAAGAUGGGAUAUUUUGCCUAAGUCAGAAGAAAAAAAGAUGCUCCUAAAGUAUGACGGGUUACAUGUAAACAAAUAAUAGGCCAAACAGAACUGGAGGAAACUUUGAAUGGGACCAAGAUGUCAAUAAUUGAUAUAUUCUUUAAGCAAAGCACUGAUAGAAAGCUUUACCUUUGUGGAACAGCAACAAAUGAAAAGUUCACUCAUGGAGAACACAAUGAAUUAUUUGCCUCAGUUUUUAUGAGACAAUAUUGGGGAGAAAUUGAAUUUACUUUUCCAUUUAUUUCCUUCUUCUCUGCUGAACACUGCACUAAAUGCUGGAUCUGCAAAUCUCCCAAAAUAUUUUCUGAAACAGAGAAGUCAGAAGGCCUCUAUCAGAUAGUGAUAAACACAUGAUAUUCUAGAUCUAGUUGGCAAACUAGUUGUAGAGAAAGCCCCAGAAUCAUAAAAUAUCUACUCAAGAUUUUUGAAGGUCUUUGAAGAUUUUUUCCCUCUGGGAAAUAUGAUGGCAAACAACAAUCAUGUUAGUUCUAUUGAGAAAAAAGGUUUUCUGAGGGAAACCUAGUGACUACAAACUUCAUGGAGAUUCAAUUAGUAGGACUGAUCACAGGGAGAGCUUAUGGAGAUCCCUCAUGUCUUUCAAAACGCAGUUAAGUGUCACCUCCUCUAUAAAGCCUUUCUGAUUUUUCCAAUUGAAUGAGAUAUGUUGCUGCUCAAAUUGUAAUACAGCAAUUUGUAGAGACUCUGUUUCCCCUUAUUUUAUGCACACUUGUAUUAUAUGCAAUCCUACCUUGUGUUAAUGCUUAUUUGAAUCUAUCACAAAGUGUUAAACAAUGAAUUUUUUAAAACAAUGAAGCACAUUUAGUCACAUUGAUCUUACAACUAUUAAUAUUUUAGUGAGAGCAAAAAUGUUUGGU